CUUUUCAAUUCCCGGACGAAGUUCAUCGAGACGACUGUUGUUGUGAUUUUGGGCUAUACAAAUAAAAUUGAAUUGAAUUGAAAAUUAAAAUACUUAUAUGGACAAAAUUGGAAUAUUUUAAGCUUGCAAUAUAAAGAUACUAUAAUAAAUGUAAACUUCAACAUACUGCCUAAUUUUUAGCAUAUAGACUAAAUCUACUUGAAGUACUGAUAAACUUUUUGCUAAGGUUGGCCUUUGAAAACUUUUGAGAGCCUUGAUCAGCACAGAUAUUUAAAAAACUAUAAACCAUCAUUUAUUGUUUUUACAAAAAACAUUAUUUUUUUUAAUCGUUUGUUUUGUUUUCUGAUUGUUGUGAUCUUGAUAAUGUUUUCACGUUUUCUUGGUGUGAUUUGGACUUCAGGGCCACUGUAAACAAAUAUUACUUCAUACUAUUGUCAUCUGUGCAGAUAUUCUAAAAACCAAAUCUCUUCAUCCAGACGUUGGAGUUGUAGCUGAGCACCUUGAGAGGAAAAAGGACACAAAGGAUCAGCUGAAUAAUUGCAGGCUGUUCUUAAAGCUCGUGUUAAAAUGGGAGAAGACAUAAACAGACGUCUGGAUUCUGAAAGAAGAAGGAGAUACAAGAAAGUGGUAUUUGGUGAAACAUUUGGUGCUGAUCAACAACUUUUGGACCAGAUUCAGACUUCAGGCUUAAAUUUGACAAAUGAUGAAGAGAGCUGCAUCACCAUUGUUUUUUUCCUCAUGUUCUAUUGUUUAUUUAUAUUCUAUUCAUGAAAUUAGAAGUUUUUAUGGCCAUCCAAACGCAUAAUUUAAAAUGUUUACUUUCUGCUGACUUGUAAAAUAAAUACGAACUUUUUUCAUAUUUUUCCUCUGUUAUGUUUUUGGUGAUUCUGUCAUUUUGGUCUUGAUGCAUCACUCCCAAGAGCCCAAACACGUUUCCUCUGCAGAAGUCUUAUCUAGUAACCCUAAUGUUGUCCUGGAGGUCAAUAUUUUCUACCAC